AGCCGAUGAAGGACGUUACUAACGACGAUAUGCUUUGGGUAGCUGUAAGUAAGCGUUGAUCCAGAGAUUUCCGAAUGGGGGAACCCAGCAUGAGUUAUGUCAUGUUAUCGACAUGUGAAUUCAUAGCAUGUCAGAAGGCAGACCCGGAGAACUGAAACAUCUUAGUACCCGGAGGAAGAGAAAGAAAAAUCGAUUCCCUGAGUAGCGGCGAGCGAAACGGGAAGAGCCCAAACCAACAAGCUU
rnacentral:rRNA from 1 species